AGAUUGAACGCUGGCGGCAGGCCUAACACAUGCAAGUCGAGCGGCAGCACGGGUACUUGUACCUGGUGGCGAGCGGCGGACGGGUGAGUAAUGCCUAGGAAUCUGCCUGAUAGUGGGGGAUAACGUUCGGAAACGGACGCUAAUACCGCAUACGUCCUACGGGAGAAAGUGGGGGAUCUUCGGACCUCACGCUAUCAGAUGAGCCUAGGUCGGAUUAGCUAGUUGGUAGGGUAAAGGCCUACCAAGGCUACGAUCCGUAACUGGUCUGAGAGGAUGAUCAGUCACACUAGGAACUGAAGACCGACGGUCCAGACCUCCGUAACGGGAGCAGGCAGGUAGGGUAAAUGUUAGGACAAGUGGGACGAAAGGCCUAGACUCCAGACCUAG
rnacentral:rRNA from 1 species